UGGGGAAUUUUGGACAAUGGGCGAAAGCCUGAUCCAGCAAUGCCGCGUGUGUGAAGAAGGCCUUCGGGUUGUAAAGCACUUUUGUCCGGAAAGAAAUCCUUGGCUCUAAUACAGUCGGGGGGAUGACGGUACCGGAAGAAUAAGCACCGGCUAACUACGUGCCAGCAGCCGCGGUAAUACGUAGGGUGCAAGCGUUAAUCGGAAUUACUGGGCGUAAAGCGUGCGCAGGCGGUUUGCUAAGACCGAUGUGAAAUCCCCCGGGGCUCAACCUGGGAACUGCAUGGUGACUGGGCAGGCUAGAGUAUGGCAGAGGGGGGUAAAUUCCACGUGUGNGCAGUGAAAUGCGUAGAGAUGGUGGAGGAAUACCGAUGGCGAAGGCAGCCCCCUGGGCCAAUACUGACGCUCAUGCACGAAAGCGUGGGAGCAAACAGGAUUAGAUACCCUGGUAGUCC
rnacentral:rRNA from 1 species